GAUGAUGCAAUCUACCCGCGGCUAGACGGAAAGACCCCAUGAACCUUUACUGUAGCUUUGCAUUGAUCUGUGAACCGGCCUGUGUAGGAUAGGUGGGAGGCUUUGAAGCGUGGUCGCUAGAUCACGUGGAGCCAUCCUUGAAAUACCACCCUGGUUUGUUUGCGGUUCUAACCUUGGUCCGUUAUCCGGAUCGGGGACAGUGCAUGGUGGGCAGUUUGACUGGGGCGGUCUCCU
rnacentral:rRNA from 1 species